rnacentral:ncRNA from 1 species
ACUUUCCUUGUCAUGGGGUGGUUGGGAAGCUCAAUGAACGUGUGGUGAGGGCUCCCCUGCUGACACCAUAAUCAACACAUACGCACCACCUGAACCCCGAGUUCAGAUCACGGUGCAAUUUUUGGAAAA